UAGGGAAUCUUCCGCAAUGGGCGAAAGCCUGACGGAGCAACGCCGCGUGAGUGAUGAAGGUCUUCGGAUCGUAAAACUCUGUUAUUAGGGAAGAACAAAUGUGUAAGUAACUAUGCACGUCUUGACGGUACCUAAUCAGAAAGCCACGGCUAACUACGUGCAAGCAGCCGCGGUAAUACGUAGGUGGCAAGCGUUAUCCGGAAUUAUUGGGCGUACAGCGCGCGUAGGCGGUUUUUUAAGUCUGAUGUGAAAGCCCACGGCUCAACCGUGGAGGGUCAUUGGAAACUGGAAAACUUGAGUGCAGAAGAGGAAAGUGGAAUUCCAUGUGUAGCGGUGAAAUGCGCAGAGAUAUGGAGGAACUCCAGUGGCGAAGGCUACUUUCUGGUCUGUAACUGACGCUGAUGUGCGAAAGCGUGGGGAUCAAACAGG
rnacentral:rRNA from 1 species